rnacentral:rRNA from 1 species
UACGAAGGGUGCAAGCGUUACUCGGAAUUACUGGGCGUAAAGCGUGCGUAGGUGGUUCGUUAAGUCUGAUGUGAAAGCCCUGGGCUCAACCUGGGAAUGGCAUUGGAUACUGGCGAUCUAGAGUGCGGUAGAGGGCAGUGGAAUUCCCGGUGUAGCAGUGAAAUGCGUAGAGAUCGGGAGGAACAUCUGUGGCGAAGGCGACUGCCUGGACCGGCACUGACACUGAGGCACGAAAGCGUGGGGAGCAAACAGG